rnacentral:rRNA from 1 species
GUAGUUGACUCCUGGCUACAGAACGAACGCUGGCGGCAGGCCUAACACAUGCAAGUCGAACGAUGCCUUCGGGCAUAGUGGCGCACGGGUGAGUAACACGUGGGAACAUACCUUUCGUCGGGGGAUAACUUCGGGAAACUGAAGCUAAUACCGCAUACGACCCCUUCGGGGGGAAAGAGUUUAUCGCCGAAAGAUUGGCCCGCGUCCGAUUAGCUAGUUGGUGAGGUAAUGGCUCACCAAGGCUCCGAUCGGUAGCUGGUCUGAGAGGAUGACCAGCCACACUGGGACUGAGACACGGCCCAGACUCCUACGGGAGGCAGCAGUGGGGAAUAUUGGACAAUGGGCGCAAGCCUGAUCCAGCCAUGCCGCGUGAGUGAUGAAGGCCUUAGGGUUGUAAAGCUCUUUCACCCACGACGAUGAUGACGGUAGUGGGAGAAGAAGCCCCGGCUAACUUCGUG